UACGUAGGGGGCGAGCGUUGUCCGGAAUUAUUGGGCGUAAAGAGCGUGUAGGCGGUUCGGUAAGUCUGUCGUGAAAUCCUGGGGCUCAACCUCGGGCGUGCGAUGGAUACUGCCGGGCUAGAGGGUGGUAGAGGCGAGUGGAAUUCCCGGUGUAGCGGUGAAAUGCGCAGAUAUCGGGAGGAACACCAGUAGCGAAGGCGGCUCGCUGGGCCACGCCUGACGCUGAGACGCGAAAGCUAGGGGAGCGAACAGG
rnacentral:rRNA from 1 species